UAGGUGUAUAGCUCAAUUGCUAGAGCAUUGGGUUUUUAACCUAAUGGUGGCAGGUUCAAGUCUUGCUAUACCCAA
rnacentral:tRNA from 1 species